GGGGUAUAGCUCAGUGGUAGAGCAUUCGACUGCAGAUUGAGAGGUCCUCGUUUCAAACCGGAAGCUCCCUUCUUCA